rnacentral:rRNA from 1 species
AAUUUUCUUAAUAUUUAGAUUUCCCGAAGAUUUUUGAGCUAUAGUUUUUAAAAUUUUUAACUGUUGAAGUAGUUUUAUUUGAAAAAGACUAUAGGAAUGAAAUAUUUUCAAAAAAAUAGAUAUCUGGAUUUAGUUUAAAGGUAUAUAGUACAUAAAUAUAUAUAUUUAGGGUGAUUAGAUCUUAAAUGUAAUGAGAUAAUAUUAUUCUGUUUUAAGGCAAAUGUAAUGCUUAAAGCUUUAUUAAUUUAUUAUUGAUUUUAUUAAUGUUCCAGUAUUAUAAACUACUAACUAAUACCAUUAAGAAUUAGUUUAAUAUUGUUUAAAUUAGUAGGAGAAUUAAAAUUAAAAUAAGGAACUCGGCAAAAAUAUACUUCACCUGUUUAACAAAAACAUAGUUUUUAGUUCUCUAUAUUAAAAAUAACCCCUGCCCAGUGCUUAUAGUUAACGGCCGCAGUACUUUGACUGUGCUAAGGUAGCAUAAUAAAUUGGCUUUUAAUUGAAGUCGGGUAUGAAUGGGGUUUUGGAGUUAAGCUGUCUCUUAUUAAAAUUUCUUAAAUUACUUAAAAGGUGAAAAUUCCUUUAUAUUUUUAUUAGACGAGAAGACCCUAUGAAUUAUAAUUAAUAAAAUUAAAAUAUUUUUAAAUUUUUGUUGGGGCAACAGAUCAGGAUAUUUAUUUUAAAACCUGGUUAAUUUUAGUGCUAUUAGUAGAUAAUUUAUAAGAAUAAAUUUAAUUACCUUAGGGAUAACAGCAUAAUAUUAUUAUUUGUUUAUGACCUCGAUGUUGGAUUAGGGAAUUUAUUGGUUAGUCGCUAAUUACGUGGGUUCUGUUCGAACUAUCUCCCUUA